UACGUAGGGGGCAAGCGUUAUCCGGAUUUACUGGGUGUAAAGGGAGCGUAGACGGCAUGGCAAGCCAGAUGUGAAAUACCGGGGCUCAACCCCGGGACUGCAUUUGGAACUGUUAAGCUGGAGUGUCGGAGAGGCAGGCGGAAUUCCUAGUGUAGCGGUGAAAUGCGUAGAUAUUAGGAGGAACACCGGUGGCGAAAGCGGCUCUCUGGCCUGUAACUGACACUGAGGCUCGAAAGCGUGGGGAGCAAACAGG
rnacentral:rRNA from 1 species